rnacentral:rRNA from 1 species
GAUGAACGCUGGCGGCGUGCCUAAUACAUGCAAGUCGAGCGAACAGACGAGGAGCUUGCUCCCAUGACGUUAGCGGCGGACGGGUGAGUAACACGUGGAUGACCUACCUCUAAGACUGGGAUAACUACGGGAAACCGGAGCUAAUACCGGAUAAUAUAUUGAACCGCAUGGUUCAAUAGUGAAAGACGGUUUUGCUGUCACUUAUAGAUGAAUCCGCGCCGCAUUAGCUAGUUGGUAAGGUAACGGCUUACCAAGGCAACGAUGCGUAGCCGACCUGAAAGGGUGAUCGCCCACACGGUCUCAGAGAAUGGUCCGAGACUCUUACGCGAGGCAGCAGUCGGGAAUCUUCCGCGAGGGGGGAAAGCCUGACGUAGCAACGCCGCGUGAGUGCUGAAGGUCUUCGGAUCGGAAAACUCUGUUAGUAGUGAAGAAGAAAUGCGUUAUUAACUAUGCACGUCUUGACGGUACCGAAUCAGUAAGCCACGGCUAACUACGUG